UGUAAGCGUAUACCAAAGUUGUUGCAGUUAAAACGCUCGUAGUCGGAAUUUGGCAGUUCCGGAUGUGUGCACGUCGUGUGCGCACUUCGCGGGGAUUGCUUUUGUGGUCUUGCGUAGGAUGAGGCACUUUUAUUAGUGAACGUCCUCACGCAACCACUUUUUACUGUGAGAAAAUCAGAGUGCUCAAAGCAGGCAUUUGCCGUGAAUGUAUUAGCAUGGAAUAAUAGAAUAGGACUUGGUUCUAGUUUGUUGGUUUGUUGGGACUGAGUAAUGAUUAAGAGGGACAGUUGGGGGCAUUUGUAUUUCGGUGCUAGAGGUGAAAUUCUUAGAUUACCGAAAGACAAGCUGCUGCGAAAGCGUCUGCCAAGGAUGUUUUCAUUGA
rnacentral:rRNA from 1 species